UGUUGGAGGAAACUACAGGUUAGUCUCUGGAGCAGUAGUCAUGGUGAUGGAGGAAACUACAGGUUAGUCUCUGGAGCAGUAGUCAUGGUGAUGGGGGAAACUAUAGUUUUGUCUCUGGAGCUGUGUGUCAUGGUGUUGGAGGAAACUACAGGUUAGUCUCUGGAACAGUAGUCAUGGUGAUGGAGGAAACUACAGGUUAGUCUCUGGAGCAGUAGUCAUGGUGAUGGAGGAAACUACAGGUUAGUCUCUGAAGCUGUAGUCAUGGUGUUGGAGGGAACUACAGGUUAGUCUCUGAAGCUGUAGUCAUGGUGUUGGAGGGAACUACAGGUUAGUCUCUGGAGCAGUAGUCAUGGUGAUGGAGGAAACUACAGGUUAGUCUCUGGAGCAGUAGUCAUGGUGUUGGAGGAAACUAC
ensembl:lncRNA